GGUUGAUUAGCUCAGUGGUUACCUUCAUGUUCACAGAUUUUCAAGUGUCAUCAGAAGGUCGCAGGUUCAAUUCCUGCAGCCAGCCG